AACAGGAUUAGAUACCCUGGUAGUCCACGCCCUAAACGAUGUCUACCAGUUGUCGGGUUUUAAUUAACUUGGUAACGCAGCUAACGCGUGAAGUAGACCGCCUGGGGAGUACGGUCGCAAGAUUAAAACUCAAAGGAAUUGACGGGGACCCGCACAAGCGGUGGAUGAUGUGGAUUAAUUCGAUGCAACGCGAAAAACCUUACCUACCCUUGACAUGUACGGAAGGCCGAAGAGAUUUGGCUGUGCUCGAAAGAGAACCGUAACACAGGUGCUGCAUGGCUGUCGUCAGCUCGUGUCGUGAGAUGUUGGGUUAAGUCCCGCAACGAGCGCAACCCUUGUCAUUAGUUGCUACGAAAGGGCACUCUAAUGAGACUGCCGGUGACAAACCGGAGGAAGGUGGGGAUGACGUCAAGUCCUCAUGGCCCUUAUGGGUAGGGCUUCACACGUCAUACAAUGGCACAUACAGAGCGCCGCCAACCCGCGAGGGGGAGCUAAUCGCAGAAAGUGUAUCGUAGUCCGGAUUGUAGUCUGCAACUCGACUGCAUGAAGUUGGAAUCGCUAGUAAUCGCGGAUCAGCAUGUCGCGGUGAAUACGUUCCCGGGUCUUGUACACACCGCCCGUCACACCAUGGGAGCGGGUUUUACCAGAAGUAGGUAGCUUAACCGCAAGGAGGGCGCUUACCACGGUAGGAUUCGUGACUGGGGUGAAGUCGUAACAAGGUAACCGUAAAU
rnacentral:rRNA from 1 species